GUGAACGCUGGCGGUAGGCCUAACACAUGCAAGUCGAACGGCAGCACAGUAAGAGCUUGCUCUUACGGGUGGCGAGUGGCGGACGGGUGAGGAAUACAUCGGAAUCUACUUUUUCGUGGGGGAUAACGUAGGGAAACUUACGCUAAUACCGCAUACGACCUACGGGUGAAAGCAGGGGAUCUUCGGACCUUGCGCGAUUGAAUGAGCCGAUGUCGGAUUAGCUAGUUGGCGGGGUAAAGGCCCACCAAGGCGACGAUCCGUAGCUGGUCUGAGAGGAUGAUCAGCCACACUGGAACUGAGGCACGGUCCAGACUCCUACGGGAGGCAGCAGUGGGGAAUAUUGGACAAUGGGCGCAAGCCUGAUCCAGCCAUACCGCGUGGGUGAAGAGGGCCUUCGGGUUGUAAAGCCCUUUUGUUGGGAAAGAAAAGCAGCAGGUUAAUACCCCGCUGUUCUGACGGUACCCAAAGAAUAAGCACCGGCUAACUUCGU
rnacentral:rRNA from 1 species